rnacentral:rRNA from 1 species
CACGUAGGGGGCGAGCGUUAUCCGGAAUUAUUGGGCGUAAAGAGCUCGUAGGCGGUUUGUCGCGUCUGCCGUGAAAGUCCGGGGCUCAACUCCGGAUCUGCGGUGGGUACGGGCAGACUAGAGUGAUGUAGGGGAGACUGGAAUUCCUGGUGUAGCGGUGAAAUGCGCAGAUAUCAGGAGGAACACCGAUGGCGAAGGCAGGUCUCUGGGCAUUAACUGACGCUGAGGAGCGAAAGCAUGGGGAGCGAACAGG